GACGAACGCUGGCGGCGUGCUUAACACAUGCAAGUCGAACGGAAAGGCCCUGCUUUUGUGGGGUGCUCGAGUGGCGAACGGGUGAGUAACACGUGAGUAACCUGCCCUUGACUUUGGGAUAACUUCAGGAAACUGGGGCUAAUACCGGAUAGGAGCUCCUGCUGCAUGGUGGGGGUUGGAAAGUUUCGGCGGUUGGGGACGGACUCGCGGCUCAUCAGCUUGUUGGUGGGGUAGUGGCUUACCAAGGCUUUGACGGGUAGACGGCCUGGGAGGGUGACCGGCCACAUUGGGACUGAGAUACGGCCCAGACUCCUACGGGAGGCAGCGGUGGGGAAUUUUGCACAAUGGGCGGAAGCCGUAUGCAGCAACGCCGCGUGCUGGAUCACGGCCUUCGGGUUGUAAACCGCUUUCGCCUGUGACGAAGCGUGAGUGACGGUAAUGGGUAAAGAAGCACCGGCUAACUACGUG
rnacentral:rRNA from 1 species